rnacentral:lncRNA from 1 species
UUUUAAAAUAAAAUUGCAAUGAAAGGAAAAUAUUUAUUAGUAAUUACUUUCAUUUUUCUUACAAAGAUGUUGAAAUAACAAUAUAUAAUAAUUAUGAAAUUAUAAAAUAGUUUUAUUAAUGUUGAGUUGUAAUAAUUUUCCCACUUAACAUGUAUUUAAACAAAUGAUAAUACAUCUUCACAGGCCAUAUGAAAUUACUUUAAGGGCCAGGUGUGGCCCAUGGACCACCAGUUUGGAACCACUGAUCUAGCAGAUGCAAUAAAACAAGUUGAUCUGCCAUAUUUCGAACGUCCUUAUUUCACUAGUCGAUCAAGUGAUGAGAUAAUAUUGAACACAAAAUCAAACCCUGGGAUUUCAAAACAGAAGAAGUCAUUGAUCAAAAUAGCAACAAAUGGAAACUGUUUUGAAAUGACACCACUUUUAUUCCAUCAUGCAAUGUGAGACAAAUGUCACACGAUGCUCUCACUAUUAAGAAUAGGUGUCCAUGUCUCAAUGUAUUUAAGAUGGGUUUGAAUGGGUUUAACCUGAAUACCUAAAAAAAUCUGGAGGUAUGAGAUUUGAAAUUAAAUAUAAAUAAUGCAUGAUUGAAAUACGAUAUGCUUCCAUCCUGGUAACAACUUAGCCAUCCAGUCAAUUGAUUAUCAUUACUGUAAAUAUCAUUGAUGAUCAGCUGUCAUAAGUACGAAUUUUUGUUGUAA